rnacentral:tRNA from 1 species
AAAGAUUUAGUUAAAUCAAUAACAUUAAAUUGUCAGUUUAAAAUUAUUAUUUUUAUAAUACUCUUUU